rnacentral:sRNA from 1 species
CAACUUGCUCUUCAGGCAUCGCGGGCCUGACUUGCGCAGGAGAACCGCGCCUCCCCUCAGACCGAGGACCUCCGUCUUCACCCUUCAACUGGAUGCCCA